ACCAGACUCCUACGGGAGGCAGCAGUGGGGAAUAUUGGGCAAUGGACGCAAGUCUGACCCAGCAACGCCGCGUGAAGGAAGAAGGCUUUCGGGUUGUAAACUUCUUUUAAGGGGGAAGAGUAGAAGACGGUACCCCUUGAAUAAGCCACGGCUAACUACGUGCCAGCAGCCGCGGUAAUACGUAGGUGGCAAGCGUUAUCCGGAUUUAUUGGGUGUAAAGGGCGUGUAGGCGGGAGCGCAAGUCAGAUGUGAAAACUCAGGGCUCAACCCUGAGCCUGCAUUUGAAACUGUGUUUCUUGAGUGCUGGAGAGGGAAUCGGAAUUCCGUGUGUAGCGGUGAAAUGCGUAGAUAUACGGAGGAACAUCAGUGGCGAAGGCGACUAUCUGGCACAUAACUGACGCUGAGGAGCGAAAGCGUGGGUAGCAAACAGGAUUAGAUACCCCCGUACA
rnacentral:rRNA from 1 species